UUUUUAGGGGAUGCAAAUGAAUGUGGCAUUUUCUCUGCUCCCCCCCGCCAGCUCUCGGUGGGAAGGGAGCGAUGGUGCGAAGCGCCGGGGCCAGGGCGCAGGCUGAAGGAUUUUUAACUGUGGCCGAAGGAUUUGUUUGAAUAAUGUUCCGGAGCAGAAUUGUGUGUUGGAUUCAAGCAGACAGUGUGGUUGCUUUUAGGAUCCUGACGUUCGGUUACAACAAAAGUCGUGGAUUCAGCCCAGUUCAUCAUGGGUAAAUCCCUCCCCACCAUUGAGCACAUCUACAUUGAGCAGGAAAGCAGCGUCCAUCAUCAAGGACCCCCACCAGCCAGGCCACGCUCUCUUCUUGCUGCUGCCAUCAGGUAGAAGGUACAGGAGCCUCAGGGCUCACACCACCAGGUUCAGGAACAGUUACUACCCCUCAAACAUCAGACUCUUGAACCAGAGGGAUAACUUCACUGAGCCCAACACAAAACUGAUCCCACAACCUAUGGAGUCACUUUCAAGGAUUCUUCAUCUCAUGUUCUUGAUAUUUAUUGACUAUUUAUCAUUAUUUUUCUUGUUUUUUUUGCUGUUUCUUUGUAUUUACUGUGAAUACCUCCAAGAAAAUGACUCUCAGGGUUGUAUAUGGUGACAAACGUACUUUGAUAAUAAAGUUACUGAACAGAGCGAGGGUUGGCUUCUCUUCCUCUGUACUGUUCAGUUGCCCAUCGGAGUCACUGACGCUGUGCUUCUGCCUGAGUGAUACCGCAUUGAUUCCCCACCCUGUCACGACUGCCAGCAGAGUUCUGUUGGUAGUGCGGAGCAGUGGAGCCUCCUUCCCUCACCACAGUUCAUUACCUGUGGCAUUUGUGGGGUUGGAUUAGACCAUAAAACAUGGGAAUAUAAUUAGGCCAUUCAGCCCAAAGAGUCUGCCUUGCCUUUCCAUAAUGGCUAAUUUACCUCUGAAUCCCAUUCUGCCUGUAACCUUUGUCAUUCUUACUAAUCAAGAACCUUUCAACUACCACUUCAAAUAUACCCGAUGACUUGGCUUCGAUGGCAACAAAUUCCACAGAUUUACCACCCAUUACCUAAAGAAAUUCCUCUUCAUGACUAUUCUAAAUGGAUGUCCCUCUAUUCUGAGGCUGUGCCCUCUGGUCCUAGACUCCCCCACUAAAGGAAACAUCCUCUCCACAUCCACUAUAUCUGUGUCCUCUGGUCCUAGACUCCCCCACUAUAGGAAACAUCCUGUCCACAUCCAAUCUAUCUGUGCCCUCUGGUCCUAGACUCCCCCACUAAAGGAAACAUCCUCUCCACAUCCACUAUAUCUGUGUCCUCUGGUCCUAGACUCCCCCACUAAAGGAAACAUCUUCUCCACAUCCACUCUGUCCAGGCCUUUGAAUAUUCUAUAGGUUUUGAUGAGAUCCCCUGAUUCUUCCAAACUCAAGAACCUAUCAACCACCACAUGACUACAGGCCCAGUCGUUCCUCAUACAUCAAUCCUUUCAUACCCGGAUCAUUUUAACGAGCUUUCUGUAGACCCUCUCCAAUGCCAGCACAUCUUUUCUCCGAUAAAGGACCAAAGCCUACUCACAGUACUCCAAAUGUGGUCUGACCAAAGCCUUGUAUUUGGUGAGAGCAGACCUCCCUUAAGGAUCUCUGCUACCUGGGAGUUGCUACCAUCAGAGAGGAGGCACAGGAGCCUACAACCACAUGUCCAAUGUUUUAGAGAUAGCUUCUUCCCCUCUGCCAUCAGAUUUCUGAAUAGUCCUUGAAAGAUAGCCUUUAUUUCUUCCACCAAUCACCUCCCAGAUUCUUACCCUAUCCCCCGUUCCCCACCUACCUUCCUCCACACCUGGUCUCACCUAUCACCUGCCAGCCUGUACUCCUUCCCCUCCCCCACCUUCUUCCUUUACAGUCCUGAUGAAGGGUCUCAGCCCAGUCUGUUGACCGUUUAUUCCUCUCCAUAGACGCCGCCUCACCUGCUGAGUUCCUCCAGCAUUUUGAGUGUUGUUCUAGAUUUCCAAUGUCUGUAGACUCUCUUCUGUCCUUAAAGAUGUCCUCAUUGGCAGGGAGGCUUCAUCUGUGAUGAAGCUGGUUGAGUGUGCAGCCCCUUUAUAGCCUCUUACAAUCUCUGAAACUGCUCGUGGUUUCAGGCCUGACUGAUUCACCUCUUUGCAGGGAGGUGACUUAAUACCCGAUUUAACUCGCCCUCUCAACAUAAAUGUAUAAACUGGAAGAUGGGGUGUGUGCAUCCUGUUGAGAAUAUUUUUUAUCCAUAGUUAGAUUUCAGAGUCAGAAUCAGGCUCACUAUCACUGUCAGAGUGAAAUUUGAUGUUUUGCUGCAGCAGUACACUGGAAUACAUAGUAAUAAAGAUCUGUACAUUACAAUAAGAAUAUAUAUUCCAUGAAAUGAGUAGUGCAAGAAGAGAGGGAAAAGUAAUGAGAUGGUGUAGAUUACUGAUGGUGGAGGGAAGAAACUGUUCCUGAAGCGUUGAGAGAGGCUUUUCAGGCCCCUGUGCUUCCCUGGUGAUAGCGGUGAGAGGAUUGCUGCCAGGUCCUGGGUGAUUUAAGCUGAUUCUGUUUUUAAUCGUAAACGACAACACGCGUGAGCCUGUUUGUUUAGUUGAGUCUGCUGCCACGAAUAACGGAGCAGUGUGUGACUGUGACUGCACACUGUCCGGGUACUGCUGACUGUCUCCAAACCUCUGCCCACGCCGGCACUGCCAGCGUCUGCCUCCCAGUCAUCGCCGAGCCGCAGCCGAGGAGGCGGCAAGAAUUCAAAUGAGACCCGCAGUUCCCAUCCCUUCCCCAACCCCCACCUCUCCCCCUCCCUCGCCUUUAACACUGCAGUAACUCCCAAUGUUGCUCUCGGCUGCAAAAUAAUAGUUUCACUGCAAUGCGAGACCCGCUAGUUAUCGCGCUGG